CGAGAGAGCUCCAUAUUUUCUGCCUUUUGAAACCGUAAUUACGCAAUUGUACAAAAUAAUAAUAUAAUCACUUUCUUGUCUCGCUUGUCGAUUUGCUCGUUAUGAAUAUUCUGUAGCAGUAGUUAGUCAAGCUAUAAAUUUGGACCCUCGCUUACCACGCUCGUUUUGAACCAAGUGAAAUCCACUUUCUUUGUUAAGAAAACAGAGGUAUAAUAUUGAACAAGGGCGGCUGCAUUUGAAUACUAGAAAUCACAAACUUAUUGUGUACAAUGUACGUAGGUACCUACUUCAUCUAAUCCGGCGUUUACCUUCAUAUCUACUCUUUAUCAGAUUUAUCAGGUAUUUGUUUUACUUUUAUCAUUUAUACGCAGGUUGAUAAGGAAAUAAAGGUUAUUUUUAAG
rnacentral:misc_RNA from 1 species